GUCUAUGGCCAUACCACCCUGAACAUGACCGAUCUCAUCUGAUCUCCAAAGUAAAGCAGGAUCGGGCCUGGUCAGUACUUGGAUGGGAGACCGUCUGGGAAUACAGGGUGCUGUAGACU
ensembl:rRNA 5S_rRNA 5S ribosomal RNA